CUUCCCAAUCUUCCCCAUUCCCAUUCCCGAACAACAACCCUUAAAUUCCUAACUCCCAAAAAGCCGGUAACGCACUUGUAAAGCCUCUGGUGUUUCAAGUGUCCAUGGGCGGCGGCGAUUGCUUACCAUCAGGUAAUACGUCUGCUCGACUACCGGCAUGUUUCAUAAAAAAAAAAAAAAAAAAAAAAAAAGACAACUUGGAUUAUUUAUUUAUACUCCGUUCGGGCAUUUUCUUUGUACUAAAAGUUUAAUUAUAUUGAUAUUAUUUUUUUCAUACCUUUUUACUAUUUAUUUACUUUUUUUCGAUGAAUUAAAACAAUAACAUGAACCGAAGUCGUGUAACGAUCGACAUAGAAUUAUCUAUACUCCGUUAGAGCAUUUUCUUUGUACUAAAUGUUUUAUUAUAUUGAUAUUAUUUUUUUCAUACCUUUUUACUAUUUAUUUACUUUUUUCGAUAAAUUAAAACAAUAACAUGAACCGAAGUCGUGUAACGAUCGACAUAGAAUUAUUUAUAAAUAAUUUAUUUCUUAUUUUUAUUUUUUGAUUUUUGAAAUAAAAAUAUAUCUAUGUCCUUUCUAAGGUUCUAAACUAUAUCUGUACCAAAUUUCAACCAAAUCCGUCAAAUAGUUGCGGAGAUUAAUGGUAUAAGCAUAGAAUGUUCGACGUGAUUCUUUAAUUUGACAUAACUUUUUUAUUUAUGAACCGAUUGACAUGAAACAAACACUAAAUGUAAAUUUAAGCAUCCCACAAUAUAUUCGUGAAAACCGCAUCCAACUCGGAUCAGCCGUUUCUGAGAUUAGCGCGCACAGACGAACAGACAAACAGACAAACAGACAAAAAAAAAGUUAAUUACAUUUUUGGGUUCGACAUCGACAUAACAAUAACCCCUGCUAUUUUUUUUAUUUUUAUUUUCAAUGUACAGACAGCACUUUUCUACGAUUUUAUUAUAUGUAUAGAUGUAUAGAUUACAUGAAAUGUUGAGAUAUUACACAUGGAUAUUCCGGAAAGACAUUACUGAGAAAUAAGGUUAAUUAGAGAACUUCACUUCUUUAUUUUACUUGGGAAUAUUUAAGAAAUGCAUUGGAUUUCCAGUAUUUUACUCCGUAUAUGUACUAAGUUUAUACAAGCAGGAAUCACGAUACAUAUGAUGUAUACACUUCAUGUAUCUCAUAGUCUAUCCGAUAAGUUUCUUGACGGUUAUCUUCGAUACAACUUUACCAAACAUUUCGUACGGGAAACAUUGAAAGCAGCAGUUUAUGCCACUAUGGCAAAAAGCUAUUCAAACAUUUAAUAAGAAUCUGUACAGUCUUCCACAAGAUAACCAGUUGAUAGUAAUAAUUGACUCGGUUGCUAUGGUAACGAGUUUCUUGACGGUUGUCUUCGACACGACGUUGACAGAACAUAUAGUACCUAGCUGUGUAUGUAGCUACACACCACUGUGGAAUACUGACUGGGUACAAGUUUGACAAAUAAUUUCGUAAAAUAAGACAAGUCUUAUCGCACCUGAGUGCUGAAUUUAAAGUGAGACGUUUAAUGAUAGUACUGAAUUGACCGUUUUAAACUAUGACUCUGAUGUAGAUAACGUACCACGAAUGUAUUUGUAGUUUCUUGACGGUUGUCUUCGAUACAACACUCAUGUUGUAAUCAUGCAACAUGUAGGAAAGAGUAGUAAGUAGCUGGAGCCACCGACUACUUGGAAAUACUGACUAGGUGGGUCUCAUCCAAACUCCUUUAUUAUUACAUCGUUACGAAUGAAGUGAAAUCUUGUCAUGUCAUAUUAAUGUAAACUCACAUUAAUGACGUAAUAAAAUAUAUAAUGUAAGUAGCUGUACAUGGAGCUACAAGCUACUUGGAAAUACUGAAUGAGUAAAUAGCAUCAGGAGGUGCUCGACCACCUCGAGUAUCUUGACUAGGUUUUACAUUUCAUAGAAGUACGAAGAAGUUUCUUGACGGUUGUCCUUCACAGAACUCUUUUACGACAUUUCAGUCACGACACGUGUAGGAAAUAUUUAUAAUAUAGUAAUAUCGAUGUACACAAUUAGAACAAGCACGAAUCAUCGGUAGUAGUUCCAUCAUAAUAAAAUUGUUCUUCAAUAGAACUUUUAGACAAUAUUUUGAUCAUUAAAUAUGUUAGAAAUACAUAUGUGGCCUUCUCAUUAACCCUUGGAGAACAUUACAACACGACAUUUCUAAGACAAUAGAGUUUCUUGACAGUUGUUCCUCAAUAGAACUCAAUAUAGACACGAUGCUUAACGUUUUAAAUACAUUAAACAUUUAGUACAUAUCUCCAUGUAUUUUUAAAUAUUGAAAAGGAUAUCUUGUGUAGAACGACCGUAGAGCAGUAUCCUUCUCCUCAGUCGUACAUUCUUGACAGAAUGCUCGUGGUUGACAAUGAUGCAUUUUCUCUGGAUAUCGUAGCCAUCGCGAUGUGCCUCCACUUGUUGCGGUCUUCACCCGUAACCCUGGGCACGGGUUCCGCGUUAUACCCCGCAGGACUGGGUCCCUGCUGAACUUCGCCAUCUACACACUCCGGCCUACUGAAGUGUAAGAUGCCCACCCCCUCGACAUGGACGCGCCAGACAGGAAUUGCCCAAGUGAAGAGUAGAGAAGGUGACUCUACUCCCCCCAGGGCCGAGUUAAUGGGCGUGUAUUAUCCCACACCCAAAGGCUUAACACUACCACUACUACAAAUAUAAAUAAAAUUACAUUCAGUUGUUGUAUCUUGUAAAUACUAAUUCUAGAAUACAUUUAUGUACUCGCCAUUACAGGGCAUUUUGUCUGUAUGAAAUAUAUUUUAUUUAAAAGAUACAUCAACAUUACACAGUUCUCUCCUCACUCGGACAUAUUUUACAUAGUACAAAGUAAGUUUGUGUUAAAACUACUAGAGUACAUUAGUACCUUACAUUUUGCGAAAAGAUCGACACAAACACUUUAUUAAAAAAUCAAGACAAAUAUUUUUAUGAAGAAAAGAAAUACCAAAUGACAUUAUAUUAUCAGUGACGUCAUGUACAAAAUGACAAGGACAGAAAAAAUAUGUUAUUGUUGUCUCUUUUUAAUGGAGAUGUAGAAUUACUUUUAGUCUGUAGCGAUGAUUUACAUAACAAUACAAUGAAGUUUCUUGAUAGUUGUCUUCGAUACAACUCUUUUACAAUAUUUCAAUCAUGAAAUGAGGGAAAAUACAAGUAACCCUACAAUGUAGAUUAUUUAAAGAGUUUCUUAAUGGUUGUCUUCAACACAAUUCUUAUGUUCUAAACAUAAGUGGGAAAUAUUAAAGAGUAGCUGUUUGUGAGACUACAAACUACUUGGACAUACUGAGUUAUAUAAUAUGGAAUUACCACAUAGAACGACAAAUUGUUCCAUUGUGGGGAAAUAGUUUUUUUUUAAUAUCAUUUACAAAGAGGAACAAAAUCAAGUACCUAAAAAUAUUAUUUGUCAACACACGAGACAGUGGACAUCGACUCGGACGCAUCCGAAGAGUUUGAGAAUAUUUUUAAUAUAAUUUCAAGCGUCAAAUAUCGACGCACACAACUAGAACAAGCAUACAGCUCAUUUGAUGUUAAUACUCGUAUAACUGACGGAGGACAACAUUUUCCAAAUAAUAAUUACGAGAAGUAAGUUCCAGUGAAACAUAAUUUAUAAAUUACCAGUUUGGAAUCACUAAUCCGCCUUGAGCAAGUGUAGGAUUAUUUCUCAUUCCUUCUCUGUAUGAGAAGAGGCCUUUUUUCGGCAGUGGGACAAUUACAGGCUGAUGGUGUAAACAUGUCGACGACGGAACUAGUUUCUUGACGGUUGUCUUCGACACAACUUGUAAAGUUUCGUAUUAUUUAAAUACAUUUGAGACUGCAAACUAUUAUUAGGGUCAGUCUGACGCGGAACUUUCAAAAUGUAAUGUAUGUUUCAUUAUCAGUUUAAAUAUUGAUAAGAAUAAUCACGUGGAACGACAAAUGGUACUAAGUGUUCCCACUUAGUUAUUUUUGAUUCCUUAAUAGUUGAUUCUUGAAAUUGUGAAACUUCAAUCCUAAUCUUAGUUUUAAUGCAGACUUAUAAAAAUUCUUUCUUAACUAGUUUCUUGGCGGUUGUUCUCCGAUAAACAUGUAAUAUAAACAUUUUAAUCAUGAAAUAUGUAGCGAUCAUUACAUAAGUAGCUGUACAUGACACUACAAACUACUUGGAAAUACUGAGUAAGUCUUAGCGGACGAUAAAAUUAAGAAAAUUAACAAAGAUAGAUGAAGACAAUAUAAUUCACGCGACAAAUAUCGACGCACACAAUUAGAACAAGUACGGUUGAUGGUUUAUCUAUAUUUAGCACUUUAACUUUCGCCACUGGCGUCCUAAGUGGGGAACGUUUGUUUGUCUAUAGCCCCCAAUAACAUGUAGAGAAGUUCAGAGAGAACCAACUUCCUUCACUUACUGCAUGAAUGAAAUUUGCUCCACAGUCUAUACAAAGAGUUUCUUGACGGUUGUCUUCGAUGCUAUCCUCACGCUAUAAUUAUACGCAGGAAGUAUCGGUAAGUUGUCUCUCAAUGACAUUAAGUAUGAAGAAGUUAAAUCAUGUACAUUCCACAGUACACACGGAGCGACCACUUCAAUGACUUUCUAAGUGGGGAAAUAUUUCCAACACAAAGAACAAAAUGCAUACAAGAUUGCCGGCUUCUAGAACAACAAGUUUCUUGACGGUUGUCUUUGAUGUAACUCUUACAAGAGUGUGAGGACUUCAUUGUGGGAACUGCAAUGUUCCACUUUACUUGUGAACAAAUAUUUCCCAUAAAACAGUUGAUUAUAGGAAUACAAAGAUUAAUGAGCUGUCGGACACAAGACAUGGACAUCAGUGAGACGACAUAGAUAAAGACAGUAAUUCGUGCUGCAAAGAUCGACGACUUUAAUAUUUAGGAAAUAGUUUUAACUCUCAUCGCACACUACAACAGGCGCGGCCUGGUGGCACAUGGAAUAUUCAACAUUCCGUCUCGAUAACAAGGAGGGAGUUCCUGAGAUGUACGCAUCCAGGCGUAUUGUUAUAUACAACAUUAUACUUCUAUUAGUUUUAUGUCUAUAUCUGUUUUGUGUUUCAUCCUUUUGACGCCAAUUUUAUCCACCAAAACCAGAAAAAAAGGAUAAAGAUUUUUUACAAUUCAUAGACUGCUCACCGAGUUUCUUGACGGUUAUCUUCUAUACAACAUUAGAAACUAUUCACAUUAUGUAAUAUAAUAUUCAAUAUACUUGACAAUACCGACUAGGUCAGUCGUCUUGUGGGACUUACAAUAUCUCACCUACAGGAGACACUACUGACAGUUUUUGGUUAAGUAUUGAGAAAUGUUCUUGAGAAACAUAUUAUUUGCGCACACAACGCAACAAUAUUGACCCUACUGACCUCUUCUUACAUCAAAUUGUUUCUUGCUGGUUGUCUUCGACACAAAACUGAACUUUUGUGCAGGAUAUAAUCGAAUUAAUUAAUUUACGUACACACCAACAUACCAAAGGCAAGGAAGUUUCUUAAUGGUUGUAUUCGAUACAACUUUAGACAAUAUUCGUAUUAUAUGAACAUGAAAGUAACAUAUUAUUUUGUAAGUGGCAGUUAACUACCAACUGUUUAGAAAUACUGACACAUUAUGUAAUUGUCAUAGAUUUCAACUACACGUGUAAAAAAGUUAGACUCAAGUCACAACAUUCACGUAACAAAUAUCGAUGCACACAAUCAGAACAAACACAAAGCCCUGUAAGUAGCUGUUUAUGAGAUUACAAGCUACUUGGACAUACUGAUUUAUAAACACCACAUUUUGUGUGAGACUUUGUUGACGGCAGUUCUUCAAUAGAAACAUCAUAUUUUGACAUAUAGUAUGGACAUUUAUAAAGACACAAACUACAUACUUGGAAAUACCGACUAGGUAAGGUGUCUUGUGAUACAUGGAACGUUUAACAAAUCCAUGGAGUAUUGAGAAAUCAAACAUGGAUAUAUCACACGCAAAUAAGCGUCAGUUAGAUAAUAUUUGAAAAUAAAUGUUUUAAACGCAUCGGUUUUUAUCUUGUAUACAAUAUUGUGUCACAGUCAUAUUAUGUCGCAAGCAUUAAAUAUCGAUACACAAUUAGAACAAACAAGUCCAUUGUACAAUAUGUAUUACUAUUCAAUUCGUUUCUUGACUGCAGUUUUUGAUAGAACUAGAAUACAUAUUCCCGUAGUACAUUAAACAUAUUGAAAAGGAUAUCUUGUGUAGAACGACCGUAGAGCAGCAUCCUCCUCCUCAGUCGUACAUUCUUGACAGAAUGCUCGUGGUUGACAAUGAUGCAUUUUCCCUGGAUAUCGUAGCCAUCGCGAUGUGCCUCCACUUGUUGAAGUCUUCACCCGUAACCCUGGGCACGGGUUCCGCGUUAUACCCCACAGGACUGGGUCCCUGCUGAACUUCGCCAUCUACACACUCCGGCCUACUGAAGUGUAAGAUGCCCACCCCCGCGACAUGGACGCGCCAGACAGGAAUUGCCCAAGUGAAGAGUAGAGAAGGUGACUCUACUCCCCCCAGGGCCGAGUUAAUGGGCGUGUAUGAUCCCACGCCCAAAGGCUUAACACUACCACUACUUACUACAAAUAUAAAUAAAACAACAUUCAGUUGUUGUAUCUUGUACAUAAUAAUUCUAGAAUACAUUUAUGUACUCGCCAUUACAGAGCAUUUUGUCAGUAUGAAAUAUAUUUUAUUUAAAAGAUACAUCAACAUUACACAGUUCUCUCCUCACUCGGACAUAUUUUACAUAGUACAAAGUAAGUUUGUGUUAAAACUACUAGAGUACAUUAGUACUUUACAUUUUGCGAAAA